rnacentral:tRNA from 1 species
GGGUCGGUACCGAAGCGGUCAACCGGGGCAGGCUGUAAACCUGCUGGCAUUGCCUACGAAGGUUCGAAUCCUUCCCGGCCCACCA